rnacentral:lncRNA from 1 species
CGCGGGUUGGACCGCACCUUUCUCCGCCUGAGCGCGGGGAGGAGAAAAUGCCAGGCCUCCCUUGAGCCAGGCCCUGCGAGUUUUCCCGCAGUGCACCACGCAUUGGCGUUCACCUACUUAUAAUGUGAUUUAAGGUUCCUAAUCACCAGGAGAGCAUUCCCUUUAAAAAGCAAGCCCGGCCACAGGCCUACCUUCUCCAUGGCUAUUCCCCCCUUUUAUACUGACUUGGUUGGGUCUGACAGAGACCAAAGCAGCGUCGAAAACCGCGAGCGAGGAAGGGCUGCUCCUGCCCCCUACGGUGCGGGGUGGAACUGCACAAAAGGGCCACGAUCAGCCAGGAGCCCCUACCUGUGCUAAAAAAAAAAAAAGGGUGGUGUAUUUACCGUAUGUGCAAAGGAAUGGCUGGAGAAGGGGAGAGAACAGUGUAAGAGAAUGAGGCAUCACCAGAAGCUAAAGAAGAAAAGUCGAUGAAGUACAUGUGGUCAGGAUGUUACAGAGAGGUAAAGGACAAUGAAGAGAGGCACGUCUAGAUUUUGUGAAGCUCAAGUGUAUAAAACUUGGAGAAUUAUAUUUUCCAGAGAAACCCACUGGUUCCAAACAAGCUGAUUUCUGAGAGAAUGGAAAGAAGAGUGUUCAACCAACAACCAUCUCCCCAGGUUCCUGCUCACUCUCCCCUGAUUUCUCCUUUUCCCAAAUUUGCCCUUGCAAACUCUUUCUUCUCCUCUCUUCUGCCCAGCAUGUUAGUUUACCUUAGGGUAAGCUAUCUCUAAACUACCUUUGAUGACCCAACAUCAUCAAGGUAUUUAGUUAGUAGAAUAAAGGAUCUUCCAUGUGACAGGAUUUACAUGCUCUGGAUCACAGACGUAGUUAAUGAUCCAGUACUUGGCUCCUGCUCUAGUACAUGUUCUUCUAUCUCAUGUUUCCUGCAUUGAUGUCAUCAAGAUUUGAAGAAAAAUAACCAAGGGAUAGGUGUAUAACAUCUUGAUGAGUUUAAAGUAGUUGAUAAAAUGAAUAGUUUCAUGCAUAUGCAUACAAAUGGCAAUUCCAAAUAAAAUUUAAGUUUGCCUGCUAUGGGCUAUGCAGUGAGUGGUCUCUGUGCUUAUAGCAAUGGAGUUCCUGGAUGGUGCUAUUUGAGCAUCAAUAAUCCA